rnacentral:rRNA from 1 species
ACGAACGCUGGCGGCGUGCUUAACACAUGCAAGUCGAACGAGAGGACAAGAGAAGCUUGCUUCUUUUGGAAUCGAGUGGCAAACGGGUGAGUAACACGUAAACAACCUGCCUUCAGGAUGGGGACAACAGACGGAAACGACUGCUAAUACCGAAUACGCUUGGGAGACCGCAUGAUCUACCAAGGAAAGGGUGGCCUCUACCUGUAAGCUAUCGCCUGAAGAGGGGUUUGCGUCUGAUUAGGCAGUUGGUGAGGUAACGGCCCACCAAACCUACGAUCAGUAGCCGGUCUGAGAGGUUGAUCGGCCACAUUGGGACUGAGACACGGCCCAGACUCCUACGGGAGGCAGCAGUGGGGAAUAUUGCACAAUGGAGGAAACUCUGAUGCAGCGACGCCGCGUGAGUGAAGAAGUAGUUCGCUAUGUAAAGCUCUAUCAGCAGGGAAGAUAGUGACGGUACCUGACUAAGAAGCUCCGGCUAAAUACGUG